UACAAAAACAUGUCCUUUUGAGUUUAAUUUGAGGUCGGGCCUGCCCCCUGAUUAAAAUUAAAGGGCCGCGGUAUUUUGACCGUGCAAAGGUAGCAUAAUCAUUAGUCUUUUAAUUGAAGGCUGGAAUGAAUGGUUUGACGAAAUAUUAACUGUCUCUUUAUAAUAAAUGGAAUUUAACUUUUGAGUCAAAAGGCUUAAAUAACUAUAAAAGACGAGAAGACCCUAUAGAUCUUUAUACUUGAAUAUAUUUAUUUUGUUUAGACGUAAUUUUAAUAAAAAUAUUAGUGUAUUCUGUUGGGGUGACAUGAAGAUAAAAGUAACUCUUUAUUAUUAAUACAUUGAUUUAUGAAUAAUUGAUCCGUUAUUAACGAUUAUAAGAUAAAGUUACCUUAGGGAUAACAGCGUAAUUUUUUUUAAGAGUUCUUAUCGACAAAAAAGAUUGCGACCUCGAUGUUGGAUUAAGGAAUAUGAUUAGGUGCAGAAAUUUAAUUAAUAAGUCUGUUCGACUUUUAAAUCCUUACGUCAUCUGA
rnacentral:rRNA from 1 species